rnacentral:rRNA from 1 species
UACGUAGGGUGCGAGCGUUAAUCGGAAUUACUGGGCGUAAAGCGUGCGCAGGCGGCGCGUUAAGACAGGUGUGAAAGCCCCGAGCUUAACUUGGGAAUUGCGCUUGUGACUGGCGUGCUGGAGUGUGGCAGAGGGAGGUGGAAUUCCACGUGUAGCAGUGAAAUGCGUAGAGAUGUGGAGGAACACCUGCGGCGAAGGCGGGUAGCUGGGCCGACACUGACGCUGAGGCGCGAAAGCCAGGGGAGCGAACGGG